UGGAAAGAAGCUUUGUAUGGCUGUCAUGCUUAGACAAUGAUUCCUGCGACUUGACCUUCAGGCUGGGAGAGGUGGAGAGCCAUGCCUGUUCUCCUUCGUUGCUAUGGAAUUUGCUGACACAAAGAAUAUCUUCUGCCUGGUGCUGGGCAUAUCCUAAGAACUGACAACUUUCCUGUAUUACCCUGUGUGAGCAGCUGUCACCUUAUUGGGGGAAGAAUGCCUGAAAAUUAG
rnacentral:snoRNA from 1 species